GCCACAUCCAGCCUGGCCUUGAAUGCCUGUUGAUUUUAUUGCUAGUAGGUGGGACAGAGGUUGCCUGCUAAAGGAUGUGACUUUUUUUUUUACAGACAAAUAUGAAGCUGAUCAUUAUUUUUUCAUCUCAUGUUGUCAUCCAACUUCUACAGCAAGAAAUCUGAACUACAGAAGUAUAGCUGAAAAGGCCAAAAACGCCAUCUAUGAGAAUGCAAACUUCCAGGGAUCCUCCAAAGAAUUAGCCAGUGACACUGCCAAUCUGAAAGAUGUGCAUUGGAAUGGCCGUCUCCUCAGUAAAAGUAAUAGAACAGCUUUGGGUGGCUUAUGAGCACUUCAGCUAUGCAGGCCAGGUAUUGGUAUUUGAGGAGGGGCAACAUAGAUUUGCUGGUGAACAGUGAAAUGACAAGAUCACUUUCCUGCACAUGAUCUGCAGAUCUGCAGAUCAGUCUAUGAACAUGCUCAGUAUUGAGGGAAGAGUAGGGUGAUAACAGAAACAACCAGCCUGGGUUGGGGACAUGCCACUGACAUUGUCACCAAGUCCAGAGAGGUGCACAGCCGUUGUAUGAACACAGAGACGUGAUUUAUGCUAGAUUGCAUGAGAAUAUGAACACCUUCCAUGUUACAACACAAUUUCAAUGACAAGCUUCCAUUUAUACAUCUACUUCUGCCACAGGCAGAUUAAGUAGCUGGUGUGCCAAGCAGUGACAGAGGCUAUAACCACCGAAAGCAAGCAAGGUAUCCCAGCAAGCCUAUCUUCACCACUUCCAUGGACAUCACUGGAUACAAAGGACACCUUUCAUGGGUCAAAUAGGCAAAUGGGAUGAGGACAAGGAGGGCGCUGAAGAAACUUUGUGUGUUGCACACCACAGAUGUGCUCUGAGGACCACCCACUGCUCAGCGUUCCUUCAGGAUUGUGACUGUGUUUCUAUUCUUUACCUCCAAAAGAAUACACUAAAAACUACAUGACAGACUAAGUUUCAAUAUAAUUUGAAUUAUUAAUUUCAUUUGCAUAUGAAAUAUGCAAGGCUUUAUUACAGAUGUAGGCUCACUGUUUCAGGAACUGUUUUGACAUGUACAGGCUUAUCUGGAGAAUUUGGAGUUGCAGUUCCAAAUGACACUGCUAAAUGGCAUCUGCACUCUGAGCCAUACUGUAGAAGUUGUUGUGCAGCUCUGCAUUUUAAAUCUCAUCCGUCUCAGUGCUGAGAUCCUGCUCUUGCAUUCAUAGCUGGACACAGAGCCUAUAAGCAUGCAGGGUGAUCGGCUGCUGGGCUUUGACCUGUUUAAAAACAAACACAGCAGGAUCUUUUGACGUGUCAGCACUCUGUGGUCCUUUCCAAGGCUCCUGGAGGUAGAUGCAAAGAUGACAAUUCAGGCUUCAUGUGGUAUAGGACACUUCUUACUAAUAUGUGCUCAAUUUCUGAUUUUCUUGCUUUAUUCAUCACAGGUCUUCUAAAAGGGUUUCAAGAUUCAAGUGAGAGAACUCUGAGUAUCGUCCUUACUAUAGACCAAAAUAACUAGGACAGUAUGAAGCCAGCUGUGCCAAAAGGAAGAAGUGUUACCAUGAGACAGAGGGGAAGGAUCUAACAUUGGUGUGUUCAAAUGCAGACUGUGGCAGUGGUGCGAGUGUACUGUGCAUGGUGUUCUCAGCCUGCUCAGUAAGGCAGAUCAGUCUGGCUGUAUCAUCACUGUUAGGUUUCUUCCAGAGGGCCUAAGCACAACACUUCGUGCAAUAUAUAAGAAAACUGCAGAACAUCAAUGCAUGUAAUGUUUUUAAUCCUGUUACUAAUGUAACUUUCCAUUAUUAAUACCUUUUGGAGUAACAAAUCUAGGUGGCUGAGGUCAUCAUCUUCUGUCCAAACAAAUCUGCAAAAUAAAUGAUGUUGGAAAUCCUACUGAAUUGCCAUGAUGGUGUCUCAGGGUUCCCUUUCAGCAUCUUGGCAUGAUAUUGACAACAUAUGGGUACAGUUGAUAGGCCUGAAAUUAUUCAGGGUGUCUCUAAUUUGAUUUCUAGGAAAUGUGCAU
ensembl:lncRNA